rnacentral:rRNA from 1 species
GACGAACGCUGGCGGCGUGCUUAACACAUGCAAGUCGAACGGAAAGGCCCUGCUUGCAGGGUACUCGAGUGGCGAACGGGUGAGUAACACGUGGGUGAUCUGCCCUGCACUUCGGGAUAAGCCUGGGAAACUGGGUCUAAUACCGGAUAGGAGCCAUUUUUAGUGUGAUGGUUGGAAAGUUUUUUCGGUGUAGGAUGAGCUCGCGGCCUAUCAGCUUGUUGGUGGGGUAAUGGCCUACCAAGGCGGCGACGGGUAGCCGGCCUGAGAGGGUGGACGGCCACAAUGGGGCUGAGAUACGGCCCAGACUCCUACCGGAGGCAGCAGUGGGGAAUAUUGCACAAGGGGCGCAAGCCUGAUGCAGCGACGCCGCGGGGGGGAUGACGGCCUUCGGGUUGUAAACUCCUUUCGCUAGGGACGAAGCUUUUUGUGACGGUACCUAGAUAAGAAGCACCGGCUAACUACGUG